UACGUAGGGAGCAAGCGUUGUCCGGAAUCAUUGGGCGUAAAGCGCGUGUAGGCGGCCCUGAAAGUCUGGUGUGAAAACUUGAGGCUCAACCUCAAGCUGUCGCUGGAUACUGCAGGGCUUGAGUCCGGAAGAGGAGUGUGGAAUUCCUGGUGUAGCGGUGGAAUGCGCAGAUAUCAGGAGGAACACCUAUGGCGAAGGCAGCACUCUGGUACGUGACUGACGCUGAGACGCGAAAGCGUGGGGAGCAAACAGG
rnacentral:rRNA from 1 species